GAUGAAGAACGUAGCGAAAUGCGAUAAGUAAUGUGAAUUGCAGAAUUCAGUGAAUCAUCGAAUCUUUGAACGCAUAUUGCGCUCUCUGGUAUUCCGGAGAGCAUGCUUGUUUGAGUAUCAGUAAACACCUCAACUUCCAUAUCUUUUUUGAAAUGGGAGUUGGACUUGAGUGAUCCCAACGCUUUUCCUCACCGAAAAGUGGCGGGUUACUUGAAAUGCAGGUGCAGCUGGACUUUUCUCUGAGCUAUAAGCAUAUCUAUUUAGUCUGCCUAAAAAACAGAUUAUUACCUGUGCUGCAGCUAACAUAAAGGAGAUUAGUUCUUGUGCUGACUGAUGCAGGAUUCACAAAGACGGCUUCGGCCGACUUUGUAAACUCGAUCUCAAAUCAAGUAAGACUACCCGCUGAACUUAAGCAUAUCAAUAAGCGGAGGA
rnacentral:misc_RNA from 1 species